GACGAACGCUGGCGGCGUGCCUAAUACAUGCAAGUCGAGCGGACAGAUCGAGAGCUUGCUUUUCAUUCGUUAGCGGCGGACGGGUGAGUAACACGUGGACAACCUACCUUUUAGACGGGGAUAACACCGAGAAAUCGGUGCUAAUACCGGAUAACAUGUUGUAUCGCAUGGCGUUUUGGUGAAAGACGGCGCAAGCUGCCGCUAUAGAUUGUUCCCGCGGCGCAUUAGCUAGUUGGUGAGGUAACGGCUUACCAAGGCGACGAUACGUAGCCGACCUGAGAGGGUGAUCGGCCACACUGGGACUGAGACACGGACCAGACUCCUACGGGAGGCAGCAGUAGGGAAUCUUCCGCAAUGGGCGAAAGUCUGACGGAGCAACGCCGCGUGAGAGAAGAAGGCCUUCGGGUCGUAAAGCUCUGUUGUUAGGGAAGAACAAGUAUCGCAGUAACUGGGGUUAUCGUGACGGUACCUAAUGAGAAAGCCACGGCUAACUACGUG
rnacentral:rRNA from 1 species